UAAAAGUUUUAUUUUGGCUUAAAAAUUUGUUAUUAGUUUGAUUUAUAUGUAAAUUUUUGUGUGAAUUUAUAUUUAUUUAAAAAAUAAAUAUAUUAUAAAUUAUUUUACUCGCAGUAAUUAAUAUUAUUAAUUAAAGAAAUUUAGAAAUAGCAAUAUUAAAAAGUAUUGACCAAAUUGGUGCCAGCAGUCGCGGUUAUACCAAUAAUACAAAUAAAUUUUUUUUAGUAUGAAUUAAAUUGAUUUAUUUAAAAAUAAAAUUAAAUAUAUUAAGUGAAAUUUUAUAUUUAAAUUAUUUUAUAAAAUAAUAAUUGAAGUUAAAAAAUUUUAAUAAAAAACUAGGAUUAGAUACCCUAUUAUUUAAAAUGUAAAUAAAUUGCUAAAGUAGUAAUAGUUAUGUUCUUGAAACUUAAAAAAUUUGGCGGUAUUUUAGUCUAUCCAGAGGAACCUGUUUUGUAAUCGAUAAUCCACGAUGGACCUUACUUAAAUUUGUAAUCAGUUUAUAUACCGUCGUUAUCAGAAUAUUUUAUAAGAAUAAUAAUAUUCAAUAAUUUUAAUAAAAAUUUAUAUCAGAUCAAGGUGUAGCUUAUAUUUAAGUAAUAAUGGGUUACAAUAAAUUUAUUUAAACGGAUAAAAUUAUGAAAAAAUUUUUGAAGGUGGAUUUGGUAGUAAAAUUAUAAAGAUUAAUAAUUUGAUUUUAGCUCUAAAAUAUGUACACAUCGCCCGUCGCUCUUAUUAUUAAGGUAAGAUAAGUCGUAACAUAGUAGAUGUACUGGAAAGUGUAUCUAGAAUGAC
rnacentral:ncRNA from 1 species